GGUGGUGUAGCUCAAGCGGUAGAGGGCCUGCUUAGCACACGGGAGGUCCUGGGUUCAAUCCCCAGUCCCUCCU
rnacentral:tRNA from 1 species